UCUAGAUUUUCGCUUGAUCCUGGCUCAAGACGAACGCUGGCGGCGUGCCUAACACAUGCAGUCGAACGGGGAUUUUGUUUCGGCAGAAUCCUAGUGGCGAACGGGUGAGUAACGCGUAGCCAACCUGCCCCCCGGUCUGGGACAACACCCCGAAAGGGGUGCUAAUACCGGAUGCGAAGAGAGCAUCGCAUGGUGCUGUUUUGAAAGAUGGCCUCUAUUUAUAAGCUAUCGCCGGGGGAUGGGCCUGCGUCCUAUUAGCUGGUUGGUGGGGUAACGGCCCACCAAGGCGACGAUCGGUAGCCGGUCUGAGAGGAUGAACGGCCACAUUGGGACUGAGACACGGCCCAGACUCCUACGGGAGGCAGCAGUGGGGAAUCUUCCGCAAUGGGGCGCAAGCCUGACGGAGCAACGCCGCGGUGGGUGAGGAAGUCCUUCGGGGACGUAAAAGCCCUGUUGUUUAUGACGAACGGUUCCUUCUGUGAAACAUGGAAGGGAAAUGACGGUCAUAGACCGAGGAAAGCCACGGCUUAACUACGUGCCACCAGCCGCGGUUAAUACAUAGGUGGCAAGCGUUGUCCGGUAUUUAUUGGGGCGUAAAGCCGCAUGUAGGCGCCGGUUUAAGUCUGUCUGAAACUGCGGGGCCUCACCCCGUAUAGGCGAUAUGGAAACCCUGGUACUUGUCUCUUUG
rnacentral:rRNA from 1 species